AAAUUGAAGAGUUUGAUCAUGGCUCAGAUUGAACGCUGGCGGCAGGCCUAACACAUGCAAGUCGAACGGUAACAGGAAGCAGCUUGCUGCUUCGCUGACGAGUGGCGGACGGGUGAGUAAUGUCUGGGAAACUGCCUGAUGGAGGGGGAUAACUACUGGAAACGGUAGCUAAUACCGCAUAACGUCGCAAGACCAAAGGGGGGGACCUUCGG
rnacentral:rRNA from 1 species